rnacentral:rRNA from 1 species
GACGAACGCUGGCGGCGUGCUUAACACAUGCAAGUCGAACGGUGAAGCGCUUUCCUUUUUGGUUGGUGUGGAUGAGUGGCGAACGGGUGAGUAACACGUGAGUAACCUGCCCCCUUCUUCUGGAUAACCGCAUGAAAGUGUGGCUAAUACGGGAUAUUCUGCGCCUGCUGCAUGGUGGGUGUGGGAAAGAUUGUGCCUUUGGGUGUUUUCGGUGGGGGAUGGGCUCGCGGCCGAUCAGCUUGUUGGUGGGGUGAUGGCCUACCAAGGCGGUGACGGGUAGCCGGGCUGAGAGGGUGGACGGUCACACUGGGACUGAGACACGGCCCAGACUCGUACGGGAGGCAGCAGUGGGGAAUAUUGCACAAUGGGCGCAAGCCUGAUGCAGCGACGCCGGGUGAGGGAUGGAGGCCUUCGGGUUGUGAACCUCUUUCGCAAGUGAAGCAGGCCUGCUCCUUGUGGGUGGGUUGACGGUAGCUGGAUAAGAAGCGCCGGCUAACUACGUG